ensembl:lncRNA
AUUAAGUAACAAUAAACAGUGAUAUGAUAUAUGACAUGACAUGACAUGACAUGAUAUGAUAUGAUAUGAUAUGAUAUGAUAUGAUAUGAUAUGACUCAAUUGAGUAUGGUAUUUAUUUAUUUUUAUUUUUUUCAAAAGCACUAACAUUGAUUCUGUGGUUCAAUGUUACUUUACUGUACCUUUACAGUGUAAUUUCUCAUCACUUUUCAGAGGAAUCAACACAUGGUAUACCAAUAUGGGACAGCAGAACAAUUUCAACACUGAAAAAUGCACACAUAUCAACUAAGCUCGCUAUUGUCCCACCAAGGCCGGCAGCAGAGAACAAACACCCUCCUCCACACACCCAUCCAGCU